rnacentral:rRNA from 1 species
GAUGAACGCUAGCGGCAGGCUUAAUACAUGCAAGUCGAGGGGUAGCAAGAUUGUAGCAAUACAAUUGUUGGCGACCGGCAAACGGGUGCGGAACACGUACACAACCUUCCUACAAGUGGGGAAUAGCCCAGAGAAAUUUGGAUUAAUACCCCGUAACAUAGCGAUGUGGCAUCACAUUGCUAUUAUAGCUUCGGCGCUUGUUGAUGGGUGUGCGGCUGAUUAGAUAGUUGGCGGGGUAACGGCCCACCAAGUCUACGAUCAGUAGCUGAUGUGAGAGCAUGAUCAGCCACACGGGCACUGAGACACGGUCCAGACUCCUACGGGAGGCAGCAGUGGGGAAUAUUGGACAAUGGGCGCAGGCCUGAUCCAGCCAUACCGCGUGGGUGAAGAAGGCCUUCGGGUUGUAAAGCCCUUUUGUUGGGAAAGAAAUCCAGCUGGCUAAUACCCGGUUGGGAUGACGGUACCCAAAGAAUAAGCACCGGCUAACUUCGUGCCAGCCGCCGCCGUAAGAC